rnacentral:rRNA from 1 species
CCUACGGGAGGCAGCAGUGGGGAAUAUUUGGCAAUGGGCGCAAGCCUGACCCAGCAACGCCGCGUGAAGGAAGAAGGCUUUCGGGUUGUAAACUUCUUUUCUCAGGGACGAAGCAAGUGACGGUACCUGAGGAAUAAGCCACGGCUAACUACGUGCCAGCAGCCGCGGUAAUACGUAGGUGGCAAGCGUUAUCCGGAUUUACUGGGUGUAAAGGGCGUGUAGGCGGGGACGCAAGUCAGAUGUGAAAACCACGGGCUCAACCAUUGGCCUGCAUUUGAAACUGGGUUUCUUGAGUACAGGAGAGGCAGACGGAAGUCCUAGUGUAGCGGUGAAAUGCGUAGAUAUCAGGAGGAACACCAGUGGCGAAGGCGGUCUGCUGGACAGCAACUGACGCUGAGGCGCGAAAGCGUGGGGAGCAAACAGGAUUAGAUACCCUGGUAGUC